CACAACGAUAGGACAUGUCAUUCGUUGUUUGUUUGGAGAGGAAGAAGAGGAGAAUCAAAAUGAUGCUUGGACUUCUGAAAACGAAUUCGAUUACAACACAGAUGAAACGACAGAAGUGGAAGACUCACAGUUUUCUGUGAAGGAGUACUUGACUCUGGCGAGCAAUUUUGAUUGAAUAAUACACUUAUGAAAAUUGAUUCUAUGCUAAAUACGAAAUGCUCUGAAAUCGACAUAACAUCGGAGCUGUAAGAUUUUGGUUUGAUGAAAAUUUCACCCUAUACACAAUAAAAG